rnacentral:rRNA from 1 species
UACGAAGGGGCUAGCGUUGCUCGGAAUCACUGGGCGUAAAGGGCGCGUAGGCGGCGUUUUAAGUCGGGGGUGAAAGCCUGUGGCUCAACCACAGAAUGGCCUUCGAUACUGGGACGCUUGAGUAUGGUAGAGGUUGGUGGAACUGCGAGUGUAGAGGUGAAAUUCGUAGAUAUUCGCAAGAACACCGGUGGCGAAGGCGGCCAACUGGACCAUUACUGACGCUGAGGCGCGAAAGCGUGGGGAGCAAACAGG